AUUGAAUCAUUUUCCCAAUAAACCAAAUUAACGUUCAUAUAUAUACAACUCAUCUUCCUCCCUAAAGGGGAGUGGAGGUGGUUAAAUAAUGUUUAUUUUCUUAUUUUUUUUCUACUAAGGCAAAGGAAAUUAUAUUAAGGGGAUGAUAUUUAAACACCCUUACUUUUUUUUUAACACUUAUUCAACAUUUUAUUUUCUCUUUAUCUAUCUUCAUUUUUACAGAAAAAGAGAGUAAAAAUAUAAUAUAAAUAUGAGAGAUAUAAUUAUCCCAAAAACCAACACUGAAUGGUACUACAAAUAUCAUUUUUUAAUCAAUGGUUAUGUUGUCUAAUAUGUAUCAUUUUAGAAACCAGGCUUCUUAAAGUCCAUUUAUUUAAUCAGGAGGAAAUCUAAUAUGAAUAUUCUCAAAAAUUGUUUUGACAUAUAUGCUCAAGCACCAUGACAAAUUAUUAAUCUAAGCAAGUCCAUUAUUUACAUAGGCUAUAUUUCUGUAUGGUGGAUGAUUUGAUUGCAAAUUUGUUGGGUUUCUCUCUAGGUUCUAUAGAAGCUUCUUAGCAUAUCAUAUUCCUUCUGUAAUUAAGUCUCUUAAUUAUGUAAUCCUACGUAUAAAAUAACUUAUGUCAUACAUGCUAUCCAGAUACAUGAUUUUAGCAAAUGUCUCACAUUCUUUAUUCUUUACGAUCCAAUGAUUAAAUAAAAAAUAAUUCGAUCCUACAUACAUUUUACUUGUGCAUAAAUAUGGUAUCAUACCAACGGUACAUUAUAUCUGAAGAUAAUUUUAUGGUUGUCAAAAAUAUUUUUUU
rnacentral:lncRNA from 1 species